AAUGGCGGAACGUUAUCACAACGAUUGUAUAUUAUCAGUUAUCACUAUUCGUCGUAUUUAAAUUUUAAGUCUUCAUCCAGUUGUUAUUAACUAGUGGGUACUGGACUACCGACUAACUUCUUUCUGCUUUGUGUGUUUCAAUGUCUCCCGGUCUAAAAAUAAUAUUUCAAUUUAAUGAGCAGUGGAAGUCUAUUUCGUGGUUGUUCGAUUUCAUAAAUGACGCACUAGUAAGUACUACUUACGUUAUGAUUUUCCGAAUUCAAUAUUAAAACCUUUGUGUCAAUCGCCUACUAAAGAAACACAUUGGUGUCAUUGUCUAGAUUCAAUAUCAAAAUCUAUCACAAUCACUAGUUGCUAUUCAAAUACCCUGGAUUUCACCAGUCAAGGCAAGUUAAUAAUACUUAAUUUAUAUAAAAACUAAAGAUUCAAUUUUACACCAACAGAAAUUCCAGACACGUCUAAGUGCUAUGUGAACUUUCGUAGAUCGGCUCCAAAAGACUGUCUAUUAAAGCGCAGAAGUUUUCAGAUAUCUACAGACCCUACUAAAUAAGCUAUACCAGUUUUCAACACCAAUAGUGACAACUAUGUACAGUUGGCCUGAUAACUGGAUUAAACCUAAUCAGACCUGCAUACUAUUAGCUUGCACGUGGGAUGUACCCAAGACUAAUAGACAACAGUCCACGAUGGGUGUAACCUGAUUUCAUAUUUAUCAACAUUUUUUUAGGCACUGUUUUAAGUUGGACAUAGUAAGUCAACUGGGUGACAACCAAAAUAUAUCAGUCUUUGCACAUUUGGCUUUGUAGUAGAAUUUAACCACAAGACAGGGGAGUUUGUUUAUUUGGAUAUACGAGUGAGUUGCAUUCUUUUGUGGAAUGGAGUAUAAUACACCACUACCAAUAUUAUUUAAGUUAUUAAGUCUUGGAAGAUUCUUAAAUAUUAAUUUAAACAUAAUGGUAUUUAAUUAUACUUGUAAUGAAAAGUUAGUAAACAAACAACAAUGAACUAAAAUUACAGUCCUUCAAAGUUAUAAAACUAAAAGUGAUUAUGUGUUUAUUAUCUGUAGGCUGUUAAAAGAUGGACCAUUUUUUUUUCAAAUGAUAUUUAAGUAAAAUAAAUUUGAUUUACAUACAUAAACUUCAAAAAUAAUAUUUUAUUAACAAUUGAGAAGGAUAAUAUUUUUUUGAAUUUAUAAAUGCAGAAUACUGUUGAUAAAAUUAUGUCUGUUCAAAUUUCUUAACAAUUAUGUUUAUAAUCACCAGAUUAAAUUGCAACUUAUUUGGGAAAAUAAAUAAUGUUAUUGUAUAUUGUUGAACACCACUUUUUAGUUAAUUUGUUGUAUUUUUUUUGAUUUAGAUUUUCUAACCAGAGUAACAUAUAAAGAAGAAUAUCAGAGUUAAUUACGAGUUAUUGGAAUUAUUAAACUUUGUCAUUAUACCUAUACACUGUAAUAUUUUUAAAUUUUGUUAGAGAAUAUUAAAAUUAAUAUAGACAAAUUAAUUAUAGGUUUUAAAUCAAAGUUUACCUACUGCUUAAAAUUGAAAAAUCAUAUGGAUUUAAGAAGAUUAAAUUAGUGGUUCAAACAUGUAAAGCAGAAUUUGAGUAAUUCAAUGAAAAUGAUCUUUAAAUCUCGAAUAAUAGGUAAUCAUAUAUUUUAACUUGGUUAUGAACUAUUUCUAAAAAAAAAAUAAGGAUGUAUGUAAUAAAAUAUAUUUAUAUCUAUUCAAAUUUAAAUAUUUAAUUUUAGUAUUUCAUAACAAGUUUGUAGAACUAAAAAUAUGUAUACAGAGUGUAAAAAUAUUUGAUAUUUUUACAUGUAACUACAAGGUAAAAAUGUCAAAUAGUCCUAUUACUCUCUGUAUAUAUAUAUAUAUAUUUUUUUUUAAUACAUACUUUAUUUUUAAAUAUUUGGUUUAAUUUUAGAUUCUGAGAAAAGCAUAAGAGUUUUUAUGUCUUAUAAACAAUGUGUUUUUUAAAAACACAAGUCAUGUUAUUUAUAAAUAGUAAAUUGAAUACUUAAUAGAUAUUUUUAAAUUUUUAAAUUUGUUAUUUGAAAAUCAUAUGAUUAUUUGAUGAAGGUUUUUUUUGCUCUUUCACUUUAUACCAAGUGUAGGUAAAUCUUUACAAUUCUUCUUUGUCUAUUACUUUUAUUUUAUAUUUUUCUAAAUUCACUUUUGAUUAAAUCACGACACAGGGCACCCUAAAAUUUCAAUGGGUUCUGUGCAAGUGCAUAGCUUGCACUGCUUUCAAGAUAGCCCUGGUUAUAGUAUUGAUUGGUUUCAAAAAAAUAUGUAUACCAAAUAUUUUUAAAUUUUCUAAAUUAUUAUUGAUAAUAAAGCCCAAUAUAUAACAAUAAUUAAUGCUGAUGACUUGUUUUUUUAUUUCUAAUAGUAUAUAUUAACACUCUCUCCUCUUGUAAUUUCCAAAAUAUUUUAUCUAUGAUCGCAUGAUAGUCGUGAUUUUUUAUUACAAGUCUGCUACAGAUAUGAUUGCUAUAAAUCUUAGUAAAUUCUAUAAUGUGGAAGAAUCCAUAGGUUAAUAUAGUGUUACAGUUAUUUACUAUGUGUUUAACUAUAUGUUAGAAGAUAAUUUUUCAUAAACAGAUUUAAUAAAUAUCUUACUGUUUGAAUUAAACUUUUUUUAAAUUUUUUUAGCUGUUACCUAUGUACAUAAUCAACAUUUGUGAAGUGUAAGAAGAAAACUAUAAAAUUUUCUACCAUUCAAAAUUUGCAAGAGAACACGAAUACUGCAUUUACAUAAAUUGUUUCAGACUGUCUUAUGGGUAAUUAACCAAAAUUAUGCCUCGCAAACUACAUUUAGGUUAAAUAUUUCCAAAUAAAAUACUUGCUGAUAUUUAAUUAAGUUUUAUAAAGUAAAUAUUAAAACACUUAACUUACUUAAAAAAGGUUAUGAGUAAAGUUAUCACACUUUUUUCAAUAAUGUUUAUUUUGUAUUUAAUAUUCAAGAAGUAUAUAGUUUGAAUUAUCAAAAAUAAUCUCUGUUGUGUGUUUUAUAUUAGAUUUUGUUUUAUUUCUAUUAAUUCUAUGAUUUAUCACCAUUCCCGAGAUUAAAAUUUCUUGAAACAUUUUAUUAGACACCUGAAUGUAUGGUACCCCUUUAAAUAGUCUGUUAUUUAAAUAUUUAAUGACAUUUGAAUUUCUAAAUUUAACUCAAACACCAAAUAACAUUAUAUUGUGAGUAGUAUUAAAACUCUUGAUGUAUCAAUAAAGUAUUAUGCAAUUUACACAGAAUAUCUUUGGUGUUACAUUUUCUGGUAUAUUGUUUUCAUUAUAAUUUUCAUCAGUAAUUUAGUUAUGUUGUAUUACUGUAAUUAAAUUCCAUUUUACCAUUAAUAAAUGGCCAGGAACCUCUCACAAUGAUAGAAGGGUUUAAAAUAAAUGGAAAGGUCCCUAAAUUGUUUAAUAAAAAUAAUUUACUCAACAUUUUAAAGUAGGUAGUUUUAUACGGAAAAAAAAAUACCUUCAUUUUGCAUGAAGCCUUACAACAAACUAUUGACAGCACUGACUGAGUGGAUUAUUAAAUGUAAUUCCUAUUUAUGCACCGAUAC
rnacentral:lncRNA from 1 species